rnacentral:lncRNA from 10 species
GAGGAGGGAAGGGAAUUCCAGGCGGAGAUUGAGGAUUCGGAUGGAGGGAAAAAAAUUAGCCGGGCGUGGUGGCGGGAGCCUGUAGUCUCAGCUGCUCAGGAGGCUGAGGCAGGAGAAUGGCGUGAACCCAGGAGGCAGAGGUUGCAGUGAGCCAAGAUCGUGCCACCGCACUCCAGCCUGGGCGACAGAGCGAGUUUCAAUCUCAAAAAAAUGAUAAAGAAAAAAAGAAAGGGCACAUCCACUCUAUGGAGUUCUCCCUCAAAUCCUGUAACCCUAGUCUUAUCAUGGGCAAGCAUCAGACAAACCUAAAUUAGGGGACAUUCAACAAAAUAACUGUUCUUCAAAAGUGUCAAAGUCACAAAAGACAUUGACAGACUGGGGAGUCACCACAUAUUGGAAGGGAGUAGGAGACACAGAGAUUAAAUGCCACCUGGUGUCCUGGGUUGGAUGCUGGAACAGAAGCGGGGCAUGUGUGGGAGACCUGGGAAAUCCAGACGAAGUCUGAAGUUUAGGUAAUAGGAUUAUAUCAAUAUCUGACUCAGUUUUGACACAUCAGCCUGGUUACUGCAGAUGUUAAAAUCCAGGGAAGCUAGGUGAAGGGUAUAUGGGAGCUCUGUGCUGUAGAGGUACACAGGCACCACCUGCCCCCAAGGAGCUCACAGCAUCUUGAAGAGGCACCAAGGAAAACACCAGACGGUGUUGAGGGUUUGAUGAGGUGUGGGGGCUCAGAGGAGGGGCCUCGCAGAAGCUGGGGGAGGAACCAGGGAUGGAAGGAGUUCCCCAGUAGGCAAGAGGACAAGGAAAA